rnacentral:SRP_RNA from 1 species
GCUGGGUGUGGUGGCGGGCACCUGUAAUCCCAGCUACUUGGGAGGCUGAGACAGGAGAAUUGCUUGAACCCGGGAGGCAGAGGUUGCAGUGAGCCGAGAUUGUGCCACUGCACUUCAGCCUGGGUGACAGAACAGGAUGCUGUCUCGA